GACGAACGCUGGUUUGCGUGCUUAACACAUGCAAGUCGAACGGAAAGGCCCUGCUUUUGUGGGGUGCUCGAGUGGCGAACGGGUGAGUAACACGUGAGUAACCUGCCCUUGACUUUGGGAUAACUUCAGGAAACUGGGGCUAAUACCGGAUAGGAGCUCCUGCUGCAUGGUGGGGGUUGGAAAGUUUCGGCGGUUGGGGAUGGACUCGCGGCUUAUCAGCUUGUUGGUGGGGUAGUGGCUUACCAAGGCUUUGACGGGUAGCCGGCCUGAGAGGGUGACCGGCCACAUUGGGACUGAGAUACGGCCCAGACUCCUACGGGAGGCAGCAGUGGGGAAUAUUGCACAAUGGGCGGAAGCCUGAUGCAGCAACGCCGCGUGCGGGAUGACGGCCUUCGGGUUGUAAACCGCUUUCGCCUGUGACGAAGCGUGAGUGACGGUAAUGGGUAAAGAAGCACCGGCUAACUACGUGCCAGCAGCCGCGGUGAUACGUAGGGUGCGAGCGUUGUCCGGAUUUAUUGGGCGUAAAGGGCUCGUAGGUGGUUGAUCGCGUCGGAAGUGUAAUCUUGGGGCUUAACCCUGAGCGUGCUUUCGAUACGGGUUGACUUGAGGAAGGUAGGGGAGAAUGGAAUUCCUGGUGGAGCGGUGGAAUGCGCAGAUAUCAGGAGGAACACCAGUGGCGAAGGCGGUUCUCUGGGCCUUUCCUGACGCUGAGGAGCUAAAGCGUGGGGAGCGAACAGGCUUAGAUACCCUGGUAGUCCACGCUGUAAACGGUGGGUACUAGGUGUGGGGUCCAUUCCACGGGUUCCGUGCCGUAGCUAACGCUUUAAGUACCCCGCCUGGGGAGUACGGCCGCAAGGCUAAAACUCAAAGGAAUUGACGGGGCCCCGCACAAGCGGCGGAGCAUGCGGAUUAAUUCGAUGCAACGCGUAGAACCUUACCUGGGUUUGACAUGGAUCGGGAGUGCUCAGAGAUGGGUGUGCCUCUUUUGGGGUCGGUUCACAGGUGGUGCAUGGCUGUCGUCAGCUCGUGUCGUGAGAUGUUGGGUUAAGUCCCGCAACGAGCGCAACCCUUGUUCACUGUUGCCAGCACGUUAUGGUGGGGACUCAGUGGAGACCGCCGGGGUCAACUCGGAGGAAGGUGGGGAUGACGUCAAGUCAUCAUGCCCCUUACGUCCAGGGCUUCACGCAUGCUACAAUGGCUGGUACAGAGAGUGGCGAGCCUGUGAGGGUGAGCGAAUCUCGGAAAGCCGGUCUCAGUUCGGAUUGGGGUCUGCAACUCGACCUCAUGAAGUCGGAGUCGCUAGUAAUCGCAGAUCAGCAACGCUGCGGUGAAUACGUUCCCGGGGCU
rnacentral:rRNA from 1 species